rnacentral:rRNA from 1 species
AUUGAACGCUGGCGGCAGGCCUAACACAUGCAAGUCGAGCGGAUGAAGAGAGCUUGCUCCUGGAUUCAGCGGCGGACGGGUGAGUAAUGCCUAGGAAUCUGCCUGGUAGUGGGGGAUAACGUCCGGAAUCGGGCGCUAAUACCGCAUACGUCCUGAGGGAGAAAGUGGGGGAUCUUCGGACCUCACGCUAUCAGAUGAGCCUAGGUCGGAUUAGCUAGUUGGUGGGGUAAAGGCCUACCAAGGCGACGAUCCGUAACUGGUCUGAGAGGAUGAUCAGUCACACUGGAACUGAGACACGGUCCAGACUCCUACGGGAGGCAGCAGUGGGGAAUAUUGGACAAUGGGCGAAAGCCUGAUCCAGCCAUGCCGCGUGUGUGAAGAAGGUCUUCGGAUUGUAAAGCACUUUAAGUUGGGAGGAAGGGCAGUAAGUUAAUACCUUGCUGUUUUGACGUUACCAACAGAAUAAGCACCGGCUAACUUCGUG